rnacentral:rRNA from 1 species
GUUUGGGAAUGCAGCUCAAAAUGGGUGGUAAAUGCCAUCUAAGGCUAAAUAUUGGGGAGAGACCGAUAGCGAACAAGUACAGUGAUGGAAAGAUGAAAAGAACUUUGAAAAGAGAGUUAAACAGUACGUGAAAUUGCCAAAAGGGAAGGGUAGGAGGUCAGAGAUGCGUCUUGGGAUUCAGCCUUGCUUUUGCUUGGUGUUUUUCCCAAGUUGCAGGCCAACGUCGGUUUUGGGCACUGGAGAAGGGUGGAAGGAACGUGGCACCUCUCGGGGUGUGUUAUAGCCUUCUACUGGAUACAGCGACCGAGACCGAGGACAGCAGCGUACUCGCAAGAGCGGGCCUUCGGGCACCUUUACGCUUAGGGCGUUGGCAUAAUGGCCCUCUACCACCCGUCUUGAAACACGGACCAAGGAGUCUAACAUGUAUGCGAGUCUUUGGGUGGCAAACCCAUAGGCGCAAUGAAAGUGAAUUCAGGUGGGAUCCGCAAGGUGCACCAUCGACCGAUCCUCACGUCUUUAAGUCGUGGAUUUGAGUAAGAGCAUACCUGUUGGGACCCGAAAGAUGGUGAACUAUGCCUGAAUAGGGUGAAGCCAGAGGAAACUCUGGUGGAGGCUCGUAGCGGUUCUGACGUGCAAAUCGAUCGUCAAAUUUGGGUAUAGGGGCGAAAGACUAAUCGAACCAUUAUAGGAAUAUGCUAGGUGGUUAAGAGGUGGCUAAAAGGGCACACCUAGUGGGCGCUGAAGCUCGCGACACUGUCAAAAUGCGGGGACACCCUAAAGCUUUCAAUACCAAGCCGGCGUGGAAACACAGUCGGUGGCCGAGUUAACAACCCUGGGUAUGGUAAAAACUUGAAAGAU